CUCAUGACUGCCUUGAUCAAUAGCAUACGGCAGACGUCAUGCUGUGCCAGUUUCAGGCUUAGCUUUACUUGAUUGACAGCUCCAUCUUUCUGCUUCUUGGAACGUUCAGUCUGGGGACUCCCUCUCUCCUAAACCAACUGCCAUGCUGUGAAACUCCUAAGCCACACGGAGGUAUUUCAGUUGACAGCCUUAGCUGAGCUGCAGUAUCAACUGCCAGUCAUGUGAACACUCAGCUUGAACAUUCCAGCCCAGUUGAGCCUUCGGAUAAUUGCAGCCCCAGCUGACACCUGGCCGUAUUGUGUGAGACACACCAAGUGAAAACUGCUUAGCUGAGUCCAGUCAAACCAAAGAAUCGUGAGAGAGAAGAAUAAUUGGUUUCAAGUGCUGUCAUGGAGACGCCCCUCCCCCAUUCUUUGUGAUCUGCGUGAGACUGUCAAUCAAGACCCGUUGCCCAAACCCACAGCUAAAGGCAGGUCAUGUGAUCAAAAAUAGACCCAGAAUCUUUCUCCAGGGAAUUUGAGUCUUCAGUGGAGUAUUGAUAGAAAAUGGGCCCAGUGCAAGCCGCGGAGCUGAAACAGCAUCUCUAAUCUUAUUUCCUAUGAACCUCUCACUAACUUCUCCUUUUACGAUCUUUUCACGGCUGUUACAUUGAAUCAGUAUCAUUAUGUGUUUAAAAAAAUAUUAUGCUCUGUGUCUCAGAGCUAACUCUCCAGAACCGAUUAUUCUAGCCCCUUUUCUUAGGAGAUGACAGGCUGUUAGAAAUCUGGAAAGGGUGGGGGUUUGUUUGUUUGUUUCUGGGGUCCUCUUGGCAGGAGCUGAGAAAUGAGGUGAAAGCCGCGGUUCUCAGACUUUUGCUGUAGGUUUACGGUAUGACCAUGAGCAUUCCCAAUGGCAGAUUGCAAAAAUGGCCCUGGAUUCCUCCCUUCCCUGAACGCACACUUCUUUGCAGUGUGACUUGGUCACUCUUCUCCUCUAGAGGUGGAGCCUGUACUUCACACCUUGAAUCUAGCCUUAGACAAUAUGUUUUGUCCCGUGGGAUGUUAGCAGAGGUUUGAAGGACAUUUCUGCUUUGGGGUUUCCUCUCUCUUGCUGCACCUGGAAACUUAAGACCCUUAUGUCACCCAGCCUAAGCUAUCCUGCCAGAGGAUGAGAGAACAUGAAGAGAAGAGCUCAAGAACCCUAGUUGACUGAGAGCCUGCCAACUGUCAAGCAUUUUCCCACAAGAUGAGGCACCAAGGCAAAGAAACAGAAGUAGGCUAUGAGGGCAAGUCGUGUCUUCUAAACCAGUUCCUUCCCACCACAAGAUGCUCCUACUCUAGGACGAGAAAGCAGCUCUUACCAGUGCCCUUAUAAAUGUGUUUCUGGGUUUUGCAGCUGUUUCCCAGCCUCUAAUUGAUCCUGGAAUGGAAACAGAAGAGAGAAAGCCAAUUAGUACCAUGCCUCAUUGUUGAAAACUAUGGUAGCUCAUGAAAGCUAUGUUGUAGACUGCUUACUUGGUGCCCCUCGAUAAACCACGUAUCCUGGUAUUCAUACUCUUGCAUAAUUCCCUCUCACACUGACUCUGGGCGUGGUCACGUGACUUGUUUUGGCUAAAGAAACAAGCAGAGGCUCCCUCUUGAAGCCUUGGAUCACCAUGAAGAAGUUUGACUAGUCCUGACAGAGAGUUCAUAUGCAAAGAUCCCUGGAAGCUAUGAGGCUAUAGGGAAAGUGAGAGAGAGAUAGAAAGAAUGAAGUCCAGCCAGCCCCUCUUGGUUCCGGCCAAGGCACCAGAAGUGUGAGUGAAGACAUCUUGGCUCUCCCAUUCCUCAGUCAAGCCGCCCUAGCCAGCGGUACGUGGGGCAGAGCCGUCCCUACUAUGUCCUGCCUGAAUUGUAGAAUCCUGACCAAUAACACUCUUCUUUUAAGCCACA
ensembl:lncRNA